AGAAGAUUGUGUAAAAAAUGUUUGCAUAGUUCAUGUCAGAGUUAAAAAUUAUAAAACAAAAGAUGUUCUUAUUUAAUUUCCCAUUCUCGAUUCCAGACUAACUCUCUUAUCUCAUUAGACGUAAAUGCGCGUCGAAUACGGAAACCGGGAAAUCUUUCACCGUGGCCGUUUUUUAUACUAUGACGCAAAAGGACGCUCGUCUGCUGAUUUUACUGUUUGAAAGGAUGAUACAAAGAUUGAAACAGAUGGUUCAAAAAGCUAUUGUAAACAGAUAUAUUGAAAUGGGUUGCAUUGUCGAUUAACUGGAAGAAAUCGGGGAACGAAACAUACAUUUUAGAAAGUGUAGGCAGUGUAUUGUUUGUGUACUUGGACCAUCAUGACCAUGGGAAAGCGUAAUGGCCAAAUGUCAAAAUAUUAUGAAAGGUUUUUUAGCCCACUCAAAAUCAUGCUUUUAGGACCCCCUGUUGUACUUAGGAAGUGGACAUCUCAAGAAGAUUAAAGGUCUACUUUACCAUGUUUGCAUGUACAAAUCUUGUUUACCAAAAGAAUGGAAAGUACAGUAUUAAAACCACUGGUGAACAUGUACUAUACAUGUAGGUGUGAAUGUCCUGAAAAAAGAACAGAUAUCAAAUGUUAGUUCCUCAGAUGUCAGUGGAAGGGAAACUAUAUACAUUAUAUGUUUAAAUGAAAUUGGCGACAGGAUUAGAUAUAGAGGAGAUCCUAUAGCUACAGUAUAUGUAACUGCAACUGUAUUCGAAGAGUCUGAUGGCUGAUAAUGUAUUACAGGAUUUUAUCAUUCAAGCAACAUCUUAGAAGCCUAGGAUAAGUGCUAAUGUAUGAAGGAAGCCUUGGAUACAAAUAGCAAUUACAGCAAUUCCAUACAGGAUAGAACUCUUCCACAUGGUCAUGAUAUGGGAGUGAUGUAUUCAAGAAAUUUAAAACACAUGGAAUUAAAUAUUGUGUAUAUUUUUUCAACCACAAGUACUUUCAGAAUAUAAUACAAUUCAAAUUCAAAUUAUUGUGUCAAAUGACAAUUAUAGUCUAAAAAUGAAUAACACAUGUUUUAAACUGAAUUUUAUAUAAAUAUUUGAAAUUACAAGAAUUUUUAGCUUAUUAUGCAGCCAAACUUUGAAAUCUUCUAAUGGUAUAUGCUUAUUGUUUGUCAACAAAUUGUUUUGAAAUAAGAAGGAAAUGGUUGAAAAGAACUGCAAUUUAUCAAUAUAAUGUGAUAUGAGGUAUAAAUCAAUCGGACAGCAACACAACAACAAAAGCACAUAAAAGGCAUUAAGGUGCUAACAU